UACCCGGGUCAGUAAACCCCAUUUCAUUCAUUCAGUCUAUGUCAUUUAAAUGAUUAUUUACCAUGCAUUGUUGGGGUUUUAACUUUCUAAAUUAGGCAUACUCAUACAGUUAAACAAUACAUGUACUUCUAUAUCUUAUCAUCUGUUGUGUUUCGUUCCGCACAAAACAGCUGACAUUCUUGGCAAUAGGCCUAAUAUGUGUUUCUAUACGUGUGUAUAAUAAACGUACAGACUACAGGAAUAGUUCAUAUGAAUGGACCGUUAAGUAAUAACACGUUGGGUUGAGCGGUCCCAAAGCAGGACUCUAUAGCUGAUUCUGCGUCGAUAAGUGCUGAACAGUUACGAUACUGAACAUUAUAUAAGAAGAUAUCAGUAGAGAGGAGGAAAUAAUAAAAUAUCUCAUAUGGGUAUGAGCGGAUGGGAUGCCUGGUCUCAACAAUUAUUAACUAGAAAAAUAGAGGGGGUUAAACACCGUAGUGCCCAACACGGUGGCAUUUAUGGUCUUGAUGGUAAAUUAUGGGCUGGAACCGAUGCAUUUAUGACGAAAAAGAUAAAUCCACAGUCCUUCAAAAGAGUUCACGAUGCCAUAGCAAAAGGGGCCACAGCUGUCAGUAAACUAGAAUUUGGCGAUAAAAAGUUCUUUGUAUUGAAGAAUGAUCCUGGUUCAAAAUUUGUAAUCGGUAAAUCAACACAAAAAGGAGCGGGUUGUACGAUUGCAAGGGCCAAGUCGUGCUUUGCGUUAGGAAUAUAUGACGAUGAUCAAGUGCAGCCCUCCAAUAAUACAAGUCAAGUUUGUUAUGUCAGGGACCAACUUAUUGCCGCCGGUUAUUAACCUAAAUAUGUAUUUAUUAAUGUUUAAAUAUCAGUUUUAUUAUAUUAUUAGAUGUUAAAUUUAAGUGCCGGGGAUAUUGUUUUAUUGUAUAUUCCAAGUCAGUGAGGUGGAAGUCAUUUAUACAUUCUAGUUCCAAAUAACUGUAACCAUUUUGAUAUAUCAGUGUCAUUUAUUGUAAUAACCUAUUCUAUUAGCAGAGUAAAUUAAAUUGUUUUUUUAUUGUACAUUUGACAGCAAUAUCAUUUACUUCAGAAUCUCGUAUAUAUGUUUUUCAAAUGUUUGUUUUACAAUAGAAAACUGUUGUUAAUUCUACCGGUGUAUGCGUGAAAUCCCAUAGUGUUGGCUAUACUUUUAAUGGUUUAAUACUUUUCAUUAAUCCAAAAAACAUUUUAAUACUCAAAGCGAGUAUAAGAUACAACAUUCCAUAUUGUUUUUUAAAUACUAGUUCAUGUAAUAAGUGGUGUGAUUGAAAUAGGUUAAUUGUUAAUCUAUGAAAUUAACUUUACCCAAAGGUAGGUGACCGCCAUUGUAGGCGAUAUAAUAUUCAUCAAUAUAUGAGAUAAAUGUUUCUAUAAAGCUUGUCAAUGUGCCGGACCCUUUACGUUUUAAUAUGUAUUUAAUAAUUUAUGUGUGUUUCAAACUUUUCAUAACGAGUUUAUUUAUUUUUAUUUUUAAAUUCAAAAUUUAUUUAGGUUUGUAUUUAAUAAACCUCAUUAUUUAUUAGUUCAUAUCGUAUAUAUAUAAAUGAAACGAAAUUUAUUGUUUACGUUCUGAUCAAGUUACGUCACAUUUUACAAAUAAAUUACUAAAUAAAUAUCACUUUGUUUUUUUGUUAGUACGGUCAUUUUCCUAGGGUGGUGGCUGAAUAUAAAGACUAUAUAAUAGUAUAUGAAUAGGCCUACUUCAUUUUGUUUUAUUAUGUGUGAAUUCCGAUAUUUUGAAUUCCGGUGUUUACAUGUUUACUAUGUGAAUUCCGGUGAAUUUCCGUGUUUAAAAGUAAUUUAUCAUUAAUGUAAAAUAUUAGUAAAUACGAAGGUCUUGAGUCCGAUUUCCGAUAUGUUGAAAGUGAAUUCCGAUGUUUAUAUAUACUCUUCAAAAAAAGUAGGGGAUAUUGAAAUGCAAAUACCUAUGCAGCUUGGAUAUGAUAAAUAGCCAUGGACAUUUGACAUGCUUUGAGAGUAUGUUCACAGAUGAAGAACUUAUCGCCCCAACGGAACCACUGGGCUGCACAUGCAACACGCAAUAGCGCAAUACACGUGGGAGGGAUUCAUUGUCAAAUUUGACACUUCAAGGAAGGGUUGAUGAAAACUGCCGCGUGCUGGUUUAUCUAUCCAUGUUUGCUUUCCUAUCGGUUCUUGCAUAAAAUUUACUGUUUAGCGUAUCUUUGCUUUAGUGUGUUACGUUCAAUUUGAUCGGGAGACGUGUUCGUCGACGUCAACGUCAACCGACAACACUGCAAGAAUUGGCCGUGGCACUGCAAGAUGAGUGGGUCAGAUUGCCCCAAAUCGUGAUUUGACGGUUGCUUAGGAGCAUGCCACGACGAAUUGCUGAAUGUCUGAGGAUUGGUGGAGCAAUUACUCAUUAUUAAAACAAAAAUCAAAAACGUUCAUUUUCAAUUUUGACGGUGUAUCUCUUUGCGAGUGAAAUGGGGCCGUUAGAUAAGCCGCCCAUAUGAACUGUUUAUGUUCAUGUGUAGGCAAUUGGCCUGUUAUUAAAGGGACAAUAACACUCUUGCUGGCUUGAAAGCUCCAGAAAAUAAAAAUUUUAAGUACUAGAUGUGUUAGUGUCCUACUUGUUGUGUAAAUUAUCCAUCAAAUCCUAUUUUACUUGUCCAGAGGGUUCAAAAAUAUUUUUAAAUCCAAGUAACAUUUGAAAAGCUUUACGUCAGGCUUUUCAAAUCAUUUAGUUGAAUUUUUCCAAUUUUUUAAAUUAGGCGUGUUAAGAUGAAAUUUGUAUCAUCAAUUAAUUGGAAUAUUGUAUAAUAGUACAAUUUGUUGACCAGAAUAAAGAUUGGGACAUAUUAUUCAGUUACAACAAGAGUGGUAUUGGGCCUUUAACAUACACUGGUUACCUCUAAUAAAAACAGCAGUGCAUUUCCUCGGUUUUGCCUUGUUUCUGAAUAUCCCCUGUUUUUUUUGGAAGAGUUUAUUUUCAAAGUGAAUCCCGGUGAUUUAAAGUAAUUUAUUAUUAAUGUAAAUUAAUAUUAGUAAAUACGAAGGUCUUCAAUGCGAAUUUCGAUAUGUUGUAAGUGAAUUCCGGUGUUUAUAUGUUUUCAAUGUGAAUUCCGGUGAUUUUAUGUGUUUUAAAGUAAUUAGGGUUUCAAGCGUAGCUUGUGUGCGUGGCUUGUGUGAAACACUAUUGAUUUUGUUAAAAUUAUUCUUAUUAUUAGGGUUUCACACUGCGUAGCUUGUGUGAAACACUAUUGUUUUUAUACGCCCACAUUGAAAUGUGGUCGUAUAUUGUCGUCGCCCCCGUCCGUCCGUCGUCCACAAUUGCUUGUGGACGCUCUAGAGGCUAAAGUUAAUAUCCGAUUGACUUUAAAUUUAUACACAGUGUUUAAGGUCACGAGACGACGAAGUCUAUUGAUUUUCAGCGAUUUCCGAUAAUUACUGCCAGAGUUAUGGCCCUUGACCACUUCAAAAAAUCUUGUGGACGCUCUAGAGGCCAAAGUUAAUAUCCGAUUGACUUUAAAUUUAUACACAGUGUUUAAGGUCAUGAGACGAAGAAGCCUAUUGAUUUUCAGCGAUUUCCGAUAAUUACUGCCAGAGUUAUGGCCCUUGAUCACUUCAAAAAAAUCUUGUAGGCGCUCUAGAGGCCAAAGUUAAUAUCCGAUUGAUUGCAGAUUGAUACACAGAGUUUAAGAUCUUGAGACGAACAAGUAUAUUGAUUUUCAAUGAAUUUUUAUGACUUGGAACAGCUAAAUUCAUGAUACAGUAUUAAACGUUUUGUGUACAAAACGUUAGCAUGGGGCAGAACCAUUCUAAUGGUUUUCUGAGUUGUUGCUCUUAAUCAGAUUUUAGUGUAUUAUAAAUGUUUCAUUACCGAAAAAGGUAAAAAUAUGCGACAACUCUUGUUGACUGCCCGGACGAUUUAGCUGCUGUGGGCGUAUGUUUCGUUGCCUGGCAACCUAUCUUUGUUAAAAUUAUUAGGACUUUCGUCUGAAAGCCUAUGAGAUUACUAAAAUUAUUAUUAGGCUUUCAGACUUUGUCUGAAAGACUAUUGUUUUUAUUAAAAUUAUUAUUAGGCUUUCUUUGUCUGAAAGACUAUUGUUUUUACUAAAAAUAUUACUAAAAUUAUUAUUAGGCUUUCAGACUUUGUCUGAAAGACUAUUGUUUUUAUUAAAAUUAUUAUUAGGCUUUCUUUGUCUGAAAGACUAUUGUUUUUACUAAAAAUAUUAAUAGGCUUUCAGACUUUGUCUGAAAGACUAUUGUUUUUACUAAAAUUAUUAUUAGGCUUUCAGACUCUGGAAGACUAUUGUUUUUACUAAAAUUAUUAUUAUUUAUUAGGCUUUCAGACUUUUGAACGUUCUGCGACAAUGCGAAAUGUCCGAAAUCACCGAAGCUAUCGUUUUAAAAAAUAUUGCAGUAAUUUUAAAAAUAAUCGUUGGAUUUUAACUUUCGAUACAUUUUGGCAUAGCCGGAGACAGGGCUACUUUUGAUUUUCGGCAAAUAUUCGCAGAUAUUAGGCGCCAAAUUUAGAAAAUUUAAAUUUUUACAAAAAACUUUUUUAUUUAUGAAUAUUUUUUAGUCGUGUUUUACACAACAUUAACGAGUCCUCUGGCUUGGGCAAAAAUGUGAAAUUUUUUUGUCUCAGUAAUUUUCCUUGGCCGCCAUUGGCUAAUUCAGUUUUUCAGUCCUAGAUUAAUUAUUUAUUGUUCGAUUUGUAUAAAACAAAGUUCAUAUACUCCGUUGUCUCAAUUGUCAUUUUUUUUGUUACCGAUAGAGUUAUCUGUCGGCACCGGAAGUGGCAGUUAGGUACCAUUUUUCGAAAGCAAAUAUUAUUUUUAAAAAAAAACCCUGAUAUAACUAAUCCAUUUUGAUUAGAUCUCAGCAACUGCUUGUCGCAUCGUUUUGAUUUCUUCGGUUUUACUGGGAAAGCGGAUGUGACUUAGAGGAUAAAUUACAAAAAGUACAGAAUACUGCGGCUAGACUUGUUACUUUAACUAAGAAAUGUGACCACAUAACUCCUGUUUUAUAUAAUUUACACUGGUUACCUGUUAAAUAUCGAAUUGAUUUUAAGAUUUUAUUACUUAUUUUUAAAUGUUUAAAUAAUUUAGCUCCUGUUUACCUCUCAGAUCUUUUAGAACUUUAUACACCUGGCCGAACAUUACGUACAUCAGAUAAACUACUUUUAAAGCCCAAAACUGUUCAACUAGUCUCCUAUGGUCAGCGCUCUUUUAGUUAUCAAGCACCUGUUUUAUGGAACAAUCUACCAUUUAGUUUAAGAUGUUGUACAUCUCUGUAUUCUUUUAUAAAACAACUUAAAACACAUUUAUUUAAUCAGGCUUUUAACUGACUCUGUAUACAAUCGUUAACAUGCCCAUAUUCUUGUUGUUUAUGUGUGAUUUACAUUGUCACUUUGUAAAGUGCCCCUGAACAUGUUAUAUGAAAGGGUGCACUAUAAAUAUGCUGUAAUAAUAAUAAUAAUAAUAAUAAAGCUAUUUUGAACGUUCUGCGACAAUGCGAAAUGUCCGAAAUCACCGAAGCUAUCGUUUUUAUACGCCCACAUUGAAAUGUGGUCGUAUAUUGUUGUCGCCCCCGUCCGUCCGGACGGACAGGGUCGACGACAAUAUACGUCCACAUGAAAAUGUGGGCGUAUAAAAAUAGGUUACGUGCCCUUGUUUUGAAAGUAGUCUCGCUUAACCAGUCUACCAACCAUUCUACUAGUAAGUGCAGGGGGACUUGUACAAUUUAUAAUAUAUUAAUAUAAUACCCCACACAAGAAAUGCAAAACAGGUAUGUUGAAGAAAUCGUACUAUGUAAGUGUAUUUAUAAAGGCAUAAAAUUAAGGGAGGUAAUUCAGAGAGGGUUAGGUAACUACAGAAAAUCUAAAAUAAAAUUUAAAUUGGAUCAUUAUCCAGUAUGUAGUCGGUUAUAUACUUACAAGAAAUGUCAAACUUGGUAUGUUGUAGAAAUGGAAGUUUUGAAAUUUCUUUUAAAAUGCGUAAUUGUGUAGCGCCUUUGGCAGUGCAUUUAAAGUAAAGAGAUUUUAUUCGGGAGAGAAAUAGUUCUUUAUUGUUACAUAUUGUCAAAAAUCGUAAUGCCUGUGAAUAGAAAACACUAUAUAGCGUGGUAUAUGGUAUGUUACUAUAGAUUGACGGGUAUUUUACUACUUCAAAACCAAAUUUGUCCGUUUUGUCGAAAAUACCGACAUUAAAUUUAUUGUUAAUUAUAUUGAUGUUCAGGUCAAGAACAGAUGCAUUUGUAGUACCGGAAUUUUCUUUAUUUAAUAUUAGUUCAGGAGGACAUAUUUCACUUUUAUAUUUGUUGAAAUUUCCGUUAUCAUUGAUAGGUGUUAUGUCAUCAAUGUAUCGGAAGGUAUAGUUUAGACUUUUGGCUACUUUGUAAUCUGUUUUUCUUUUAUGGUCUUGAAAGUCGAAUUCGUAUUUAUAUAAAUGUGCAUUUGCCAUAAAUGGGGCGGUGUCAGUUCCCAUUGGCAAACCAAUGAUCUGUUGCAUUAUCUGAUCCCCAACCUCAAAUAUGGCAUUGUCAAUGAGGAAAUGUAUGAUAUUUUGAAAUUUUUCUUUAUCAAAAACUAGAGUGUCGGCAUUGCGACGUUUUAUAAUCCAUUCAGCAUCUUCUGCAUAAAUGGCCAUCAAAAAUCUGCCUUUCCCGAAAGCUCCAUUAAAGGCUUGAUCUACAAACCAAUCUAAAUUAUCUUUAAGAUCUGCAUGUUGAAGCAUAGUAUACAAAGUAGAAAAAUCGAACGUUUCUAUUGUGUUGGCAUUAAUUUUUUUUAUUGAUUUUUUCUAAAGUGUCUACUAUAGGUUUAUUUUUAUCAAUUAUAAAAAACCCUAUUAAUUCCAGUAUAGCUACGAAGUAUUCUGCACCAAAUGGCAUGUUGGGUUUGGCAUAAUUUAAGCCCUUUGGUGAUAGUCUUAGCUAAUGGUUUCGUUUGGCAGAUACUUAGGAGAUAAACACCCCUCUAAAUUCGAAAUAGGAGGUGUUUAUCGACAUUGUAACACGCUAUUUUUUAGAAUUUUAAAAGAACUUAUUUUAUUGUGUAAACUUCAAAAUUCGUCUCACUGCAAAUCGGUUUUAGUGACGUAAAAACCAAAGAAAUCAAUUUUGACGUAAUGAAAACGUCGUGACGUAGCGGGGGUAACUGGCUGCUCAUGUUAGAUUUGGCUCGUUUAUCGUCUGGUUGCUAUAGUAGCCGUAUGAGUAUAGACACACAAAAAAACCUAAAAUUCUCCCUUCAUUUUUUUAAAAGUACUUUUUGAAAUUAAUGAUGGCGUUAAAAUGAGUAAGCUAGAAGAUUUGUUAAGCUUUUCUUUAAUUUCUAAGAUUGCUCUAGCCAAAUUAAACGUUGAUCAUGCGACAUCUUAUUGUUAUCUUAACUUAAACCCAAACAAAGAGACAGUUUAAAAUCAGCUCUUAUAAUCAAGUUACAAUCGCAGGCCUACUGGCUAUGGCAAAUCACUCAUAUUUCAUUUGAUUUAGCCUAUUGCCGUAUUUCUCAAAUUCCAAAAUAUUAAUUAUUGUUCCGUUAAAUUCCAUUAUUGAGAAAAAAUUGCACAGUUUCGGCUCUAAUCCACAAGCUAAACAUAAACUACCGCUGCAUUUAAUUGGUGUUGACAUCUUCAGCGUCCGAUCAUGUUUUUGUUUGUAAACAUUGGUAAUGUGUGCAGAAAGAGAUGCGCACUGCCGGGAGGAAUUCCUCCUGGCAAGAUGGGCCGCCUUCGGCUCGUCCAAAUGUUCAACCAUAGUUCAACUAGGUCUCGACCAUGCGCAUCCGAACUUGAAAUUGUUAGACUAUAGUCGCGACCAUGAAUGGCAUGAUUAACCCACCUUUCGAGGUCGGUUGAGGCUGGUCAAGUCAGAUUUAAAAUGGCGUCCCGCGACAAAACAUAUGGUGUGUUGAAAUUGUUAUAUGAAGAUAUAACGUAUACUACCAAUGUUGCCCCAGAACCUGAGACUUAUUUAAAUUCACAUAACAUAUUUAAGUAGUUUCCAUAUUAUAUAGAGUGGAUAAUCAUGUUUUGUCAAUCAAUUCGACCAAGGAUUAAAUCGACCAAGGCUGAUGUCAGACUGAAAUUGUGAAAGUGACAGUAUUAUAGUAAAAAUAUUUCAUCCAUUUGUGGAUUUUAUUUGGAAAAACAGUAACACAAACAAACGAUUUUGUUCAUUAAAUACAUCAGUUUGAUAUACAUUGUAAAUAUAAAUUAUGUAACUGUAAAUAAACUCUGGAUAUUUA